rnacentral:tRNA from 1 species
ACCUUGGUGAUUCAGUGGUAGAAUUCUUGCCUUCCAAGUAGGAGACCCAGAUUCUAUUCCUGGCCAAUGCA